rnacentral:misc_RNA from 1 species
AAGUUGUAACAAAGUCUCCGUUAGUAAACCAGCGGAAGGAUCAUUAUUAGAAUAAACGCCCUCACGGGUAUUACCUAAAACCCUUUAUAAACUUAUAAUUUAUUGCCUCGGUAUUAGUUAGCUUCGAAUAAAAUCCCUUAUACCUUACGUAUAAGGAGCAGACCGGCCGACGGCCCCUAUAAACUCUUGUUUUUAUAGUAUCAUCUAAAUAAAAUAACGAAAAUAAAUCAAAA